GCUGCCUUGACAUGGCAGAGGUCGGCGGUUCGAAUCCGCCCGGUUCUACCA
rnacentral:tRNA from 1 species